rnacentral:snRNA from 1 species
GGUUGUGACGGUGAUCUGGCUGCGACAUCUGCCACCCCAUUGAUUGCCAGGGUCAAUUCAGCUGAUCUGGCUGGCUAGGCGGGUGUCCCCUUCCUCCCUCACCGCUCCAAGUGUGUCCCUCCCGAAGCUGCACGCAGGGUCGAAAAGGACGACCAUCCCUGAUAGAGAAGGGCGGGUCUUUGGUCAAGGGUAUAGGAGUAGCUGCGCUCCCCUGCAAGAAACUCCAAACAAGCUCUCAAGAAAUGAAUCUCUUUAGCAAGGGGAGAAAUGCCAGAUGUAGGUCAUGGGGAGGAAGGCAGCAAAUCACACUGCCACGUGUGUUCCUAUGCAACAAUUUUGCAUGUUCUUCAC